rnacentral:lncRNA from 1 species
AUUUUAUUCAUAUUAAUGUGAUAAAAUUAGAAUAUAUAAAAUGCAAUGUUUGUCUGUCUUUUCGUAAAGACUUCCGCACUGAUCCCUUUGGACUGCGGCCGGAUGGCCGAGUUGAUAACGCUGUCGGCUGCCACACAGGAGGACCCGGGUCUGAUAACUCGUAAAAUUUAUUUUCGGGGUGCUGGGCACGGCUCGGCGAUCUCCGUCUUUCAUCAUCCGGUCGUCGCCCACAGAUAUGGGUGCAGCCGCAGUUAGAACUGGCCCCGCCCCUUAGUAAUCUCUAGAAAGGGGAAUAAAAUAUGCAAACGUCGGCCGGAUUGGCCGCGUUGAAACGUUUCGGUUUUCCACUCU